rnacentral:rRNA from 1 species
UACGUAGGGUGCGAGCGUUAAUCGGAAUUACUGGGCGUAAAGCGUGCGCAGGCGGCUCAUUAAGACAGGCGUGAAAUCCCCGGGCUUAACCUGGGAACUGCGCUUGUGACUGGUGGGCUGGAGUGUGUCAGCGGGAGGUGGAAUUCCACGUGUAGCAGUGAAAUGCGUAGAGAUGUGGAGGAACACCGAUGGCGAAGGCAGCCUCCUGGGACAACACUCACGCUCAUGCACGAAAGCGUGGGGAGCAAACAGG